AUUGAACGCUGGCGGCAGGCCUAACACAUGCAAGUCGAACGAGUGGCGGAAGGGUGAGUAAUGUCUGGGAAACUGACCGAUGGAGGGGGAUAACUACUGGAAACGGUAGCUAAUACCGCAUACCAUCGGAUGUGCCCAGAUGGGAUUAGCUAGUAGGUGGGGUAAAGGCUGACCUAGGCGACGACCCCUCGCGGGUCUGAAAGGAUGACCAGCCACACGGGAACUGAGACACGGUCCAGACUCCUACGGGAGGCAGCAGUGGGGAAUAUUGGACAAUGGGCGCAAGCCUGAUGCAGCCAUGCCGCGUGUAGGAAGAAGGCCUUCGGGUUGUAAAGUACUUUCAGCGGGGAGGCGUUACCCGCAGAAGAAGCACCGGCUAACUCCGUGCCAGCAGCCGCGGUAAUUC
rnacentral:rRNA from 1 species